CAGGAUAAAUAAAGAACAGUCCUCUUUCCACAAUAGACUUCUGCAGCAUGAUCUGGAAAAAAACUACUCAGGAAGACAAGAUAACAUGAAUUUUGGGAGCAGUUCCUCAAUAACAUUUCCUGUAUUGCAACGUACUGCUGAAGAAAAAAUACUGAACUCGGAUAGACUUACCCUGGAAAGGCAAAAACUGACAGUAUGCCCGAUUAUUGAUGGGGAAGAUCACCUUCGUCUUCUGAAUUUCCAGCAUAACUUUAUAACUCGUAUCCAAAAUAUUUCUAAUCUUCAUCAUCUUGUUUUCUUAGAUUUAUAUGAUAAUCAGAUUGAAGAGAUAAGUGGGGUUUCAACUUUGAGAUCCCUGAGAGUGCUUCUGUUGGGAAAGAACAGAAUAAAGAAGAUCUCAAAUCUGGAGAACCUAAAAAACCUUGAUGUUUUAGAUCUUCAUGGAAAUCAGAUAGCUAAAAUAGAAAACAUCGGUCAUUUAAGUGAACUGAGAGUGUUAAACCUUGCCAGAAACCUCCUAACUGUUGUAGAAAACCUGAAUGGACUGGAUUCACUCACAGAGCUCAACCUCCGUCAUAAUCAAGUCUCUGCUAUAAAAGAUGUGGAUACUUUGCCCUGUCUCCAGCGUCUCUUCCUCAGCUUCAACAAUAUAUCUAGUUUUGAGGAUAUUCUGUGCCUUGCUGAUUCCUCAUCCUUGUCAGAUAUCACCCUUGAUGGCAAUCCAAUAGCUCAGGAGACAUGGUACAAACACACUGUUCUCCAUCAUAUGAUGCAGCUCCGACAGCUAGAUAUGAAGAGAAUCACAGAAGAAGAAAGACGUAUGGCAUCUAUUGCAGCAAGGAAAGAGGAAGAAAGGAAGCGUGAAAGUCAUAGACAGACCUUGCUUAAGGAAAAGAAGAGGUUAACAAUUGGUAACAUUGCUCGGCAAUGGGAGAUCCAGCAGAACAGAGUUGAUCUUGAGGCUUCUUUAAACAAAGAUAAAGAAAAUGAGCCCUGCCAGAUCAAUGGCAGUGCUGCAUAUGUAUUUCCUGAAGAAAGCAGAUCUCUUGAUACAAUCCUGAGCAGUGCAGUACAAGGCUUGUCUGUUCUAGAGUCUCAUUUAGUGGAAGUAGAAGGAGACACUCUUGGCUUGUAUGGUGCUGGGGCACUGGAGUGCCUGGAUCGAAACUGGAGUGUUCAGACAGCUGGCAUUAUUGCCACAGUCUCCUUUAUGUUCAUAGAAUUUGAUGAAAUUGUUCAAGUGUUAGCAAAACUGAAGACAAAAUUUCCUAAUUGUGUGCACCUGAAGUUUAAGGAGACAAAUCUUGUGGCGCUGCAGCAGUUCAAUGCAUUGGCUGAGAUGCAUCGCAUGGAACAGUUGACAGUUGAUCCUCAGGGAAAUCCAGUUGUCAACUUCACUUUGUGGAAAUACUAUGUUCUGUUCAGACUGAACCAUUUUAAUUUACAGAAGAUAAAUGGAGUGAAGGUUACUGAAAAUGAUAUUGUAAAGGCAGAAAGGCUCUUUGGCAUUCUGGCAUAUGUGGCAUCUUCGGAGCUGCCGCACUAUCGCAUGCUUUCAUUAUUUGGAGAAUCCAGGAGGAAGCAAUUCCAUUUUCUGCUGGAGGGAAAGGGAAAGAAAUCUGGAGUAGGGAGUGAGGAAAGUAGUGAUAACAGAAGAAGUGGAGGGGAAAGCACAGCUCGAGCAACAUUGAAUUACAUGACAAAGGAUUUUCAUAUGGAAAAGCUUGAGGAAAUCAAAGAAAGGAAAACAUUUUGCCAGACAUACGUUGAGAACUUAGUGAAAGAAGCAGCUGACAUCAAUAUGAAAAAUGAGUCGUUGCAGAAGCUGUGGCCUCAGCUGUUCAUCGAACUCGUCCGAGAUGCGGUGAUGGAAAUCCGCAAUAAAAACUCCUACAUGAAGCUCUGCCUCCAGCGGAUCGCUGAUCACAAACAGUAGAGAUACUGUAAAGAAAUACUGUGUGCAAAGAAAAGCCUUCUCCUUAAUGCUGCAUGAAGAGAUGAGACACAGCUUGCCCCAAAAUCAACAGAAUGGGUAGAAAAAAACCCCAUUCCAUAGUACAGUAACUACUACUAGAAACAGCUUGCUGCUUCUGUCCAGAAAUUGAAUUUAGGAAGCGUUAGCAAGUCCAGCUGAUUGCCAUGGAUAGCACUCAGAUGCAGUAUGCAACUUUUCUAGGCUGGAGAAGUUCUUUCCUGUUGAUAUCCCUUAAAAGAAAAAAACAAAGAAAGAAAAAAAGGCUCUUAGCAGGGCACUACUAUGUUGUAUGCA